CUUGCCGGGAUGACCUGUGUUUUAGCUCAGUGAGAUGAGCAUCCGUUCUCAGACUGGGAGGCCUGUGUUCAAAUCCCUCUUAUGGCAACAUUUCUUUCAGUUAACAGUUAAACUUCUUUAAUUCAAUUUCAGCUUUUUCACCCCUUUUCAGUAAAAUAUUUCAGUUUUUUCACCACUUUUCAGCACAAAUCCCAGCUUUUUCUGCUGUUUUCAGCAAAAACCUCUUUUCAGCAGAAUUCUGAAAAGAGUUCUGCAGAACUCUUUUCAGCAGAAAUUCUGCUGAUUCAGCAGAAUUUUCACCUCUUUUCAGCCCAAAUUCUGCUUAUUCACUUCUUCUGCAAAAUUUUCAGCUUUUUCACCUCUUAUUAGCACAAAUCUCAGCAGUUUUCAGGAAAAACUCUUUUGAGCAGAAAUUCUGCUGAUUCAUCUCUUUUCAGCGCAACUUUCUGCUUCUUUACCUCUUUUCAGCAGAAAUUCUGCUGAUUCACCUCUUUUCUGCAAAAUUUUCAGCCUUUUCACCUCUUAUCAGCACAAUUCUCAGCAGCUUCUGCUAAUUUCAGCAGAAUUGUCCGUCUCUCCACCUCUUCUUUGUAAGAAUGACUUUGGCUCAGGGAAAUGAAUAGCCGCCUUUGAGCAGAAAUUCUGCUGAUUCAUCUCUUUUCAGUGCAACUUAUUGCUUGUUUACCUCUUUUCUGCAGAAAUUCUGCUGAUUCACCUCUUUUCUGCAAAAUUUUCAGCCUUUUCACUUCUUCUCAGCACAAUUCUCAGCAGCUUCUGCUCAUUUAGCAAAAUUGUCAGUUUCUCCAUCUCUUGUUUUUGAGAGAAAGAGUUUGGUUCAGUGAGAUGAGCAGCUGCCUUGAGACGAGAACGGCCAGGUUCAAAUCCCGGUCAUAGCAUAACCUGUUUUCAGUUUUCUCUUUUGUUCUGCCUCUUUUCUGCAGAAAUUCUGCUGAUUUACCUCUUUUCUGCAAAAUUUUCAGCCUUUUCACCUCUUCUCAGCACAAUUCUCAGCAGCUUCUGCUCAUUUUAGCAGAAUUGUCGGUCUCUCCUCCUCUUUUUUGAGAG
rnacentral:lncRNA from 1 species